CGGUGGAUGCCUAGGCAGCCAGAGGCGAUGAAAGACGUGGAAGCCUGCGAUAAGGCUCGGCGAGGUGGCAAACAACCUGUGACCCGGGCAUCUCUGAAUGGGGAAACCCACUCACCGUCAGGUGAGUAUCUUAUGCUGAAUCUAUAGGCAUAAGAGGCGAACCGGGGGAACUGAAACAUCUAAGUACCCCGAGGAAAAGAAAUCAACCGAGAUUCCCCCAGUAGCGGCGAGCGAACGGGGAGCAGCCCUUAAGCGUGUGACCGAUUAGGCGAACGUGCUGGGAAGCACGGCCAUAGCGGGUGAUAGCCCCGUAGCCGAAAAUCUGAUCACGUGAAAUCGAGUAGGUCGGGGCACGAGAAACCUUGACUGAAGACGGGGGGACCAUCCUCCAAGGCUAAAUACUCCUGGCUGACCGAUAGUGAACCAGUACCGUGAGGGAAAGGCGAAAAGAACCCCGGAGAGGGGAGUGAAAUAGAUCCUGAAACCGUGUGCGUACAAGCAGUGGGAGCAGACUCGUUCUGUGACCGCGUACCUUUUGUAUAAUGGGUCAGCGACUUAUAUUCCGUGGCGAGGUUAACCGAAUAGGGGAGCCGUAGCGAAAGCGAGUCUUAACUGGGCGCACCAGUCGCGGGAUAUAGACCCGAAACCGAGCGAUCUAUCCAUGAGC
rnacentral:rRNA from 1 species